AUAUAUUUUAAGAAAUCCUUUUCUAUUUGUCAACACCCUACACCAGCAAAAGUUUCUAUUCCGUUUAAAAUUUGAUACUUUGUCUUGAUUUAACUGUAUUUUUAUGUUAUUCAAUUUGCCUAUCCACUUUUUACCAAAACGUCACCCAUCCCUUAGUAACACAUGCCAAUAUCGCAUCAUAGGUACAUCUUAUCAACAAAGCAGCUAUCAUAUUCGAAUAUUAAAUAAGAAUAAAAAAUAAGUUAAUGAGCGACAUGCAGUUCAUAAAUUGAAUUCGUAUGUUACUGUAAACGAAUGGUAUGUUGUUAAUAAUAAGU
rnacentral:lncRNA from 1 species